rnacentral:rRNA from 1 species
UACGUAGGGGGCGAGCGUUGUCCGGAGUUACUGGGCGUAAAGCGCACGCAGGCGGUCUGCUAAGUUUGGAGUGACAGUUGGUGGCUUAACUGCCAAAGUGCUUCGAAAACUGACAGACUUGAGGGCUUCAGAGGGACACGGAAUUCCGGGUGGAGUGGCGAAAUGCGUAGAGAUCCGGAGGAACACCAAAGGCGAAGGCAGUGUCCUGGGGAGUACCUGACGCUCAGGUGCGAAAGCCAGGGGAGCG